GCCUCCGUAAGUGUUGCUGUACACCCAAAAUGGUACAUUCAAAGCAACAUUGCGUUUCUAGGAGAAUUACACAAAUUAGCACUAUCAUUAAGGUCUUGAAAAAUGCAUGGUUUGUAAUUCCUCACAGAUCCCUGUUUAGCUUGUCUCUUUAGCCAUUAUAAAACCAAAUAUUUCUUGAAUAAUGACCGGAUUUUCUUGAGGAUGGUCAGUAGCUUGGGCUAAUCAUAGUUGCUUUUCUUGAUAUAAUUGCAGCAAAUCAGUUCUUGGCACCUGAUAUACAGCUAUUGAUGAGACAUCACUUUCUUUUCAGUUCUCACCAACAAAGAGAAGGAGCUGACUUGCACCUGGAAAGAUGGGAAGAUUUGCUUGCUGGAUGUGACAUGCAAGCUCAGCAGGUACACUCUGGUAGUCUGGUAGGAUGUCGUUAUAAUGAGCCAGGAGGAUGACUGUGGUUCCUCUGGACUAUAAUACAACAGAGAGACAAGCUGGCAUAACCCUGAGCAAUGACAAAUCUGACUUCUAUGCAUGUGUUAGUCACUCAAUCAUGUCCGACUCUGCGACCCCAUGGACUCUAGCCUGCCAGGCCCAUCUGUCCAUGGGCUUCUCCAGGGAAGAAUUCUGGACUGGGUUGCCAGUUCCUUCUCCAGGUACAUAAAUAUUCAAUCACGAGAAAGGAUGAAAUUUAAUCAUACUCUAGAUUCAUUAAAAUAACUCCUGAGUGAAUUAGGAAAUUUCAAGUAGUCGAUCAACAUGGAGAGAGCAGGAGAUGGGAUGCAAACCUAGGUCUGCCUGAUGCCAAAUGCUUGGUUUCCUAAGGACUGCUAUUGAUUUUUGUCAGUAUUUUGUCAACAUUUUUUGUCAGUCAUAGAACUACAAAGGACAUGUGUGAUAAAAGGUCUAGCAAAUUAUCACUUUACUUCUAUGAUUCAUUUACUUUUCAUUAUUUGACUUUAUGUCCUUUAGAAUAUAAGUAUAUCACAUUGUUGUCUUUUCUCAAUUAUAGUUCAUUUAUUAGAAAUUACAAUAAUGACUAUUUUUCAAAUAUGUUCUACCCUAUUCUUGUUUGUACAAUAAAAUGAGACUUUGAGUAAGCUUUAAGAUAGUCAAAUAAAGAUACUGUUUACUGUAAUUCUGAUUAACUUCCCUCCUUUGCAAUAACAGUUAACAAUCAUCUGAGCAGUGAUGAUACAUCAAGCAUUUUGCUAACUGCCUUAUGUAGCCCUUGAAUCUGUGCUCUGAACUAGUAAUUCAUGUAGCAUUCAUUUUGCAGUGAGAAAAGUAAAGCACAGAGAGUUUUAAGUAACUUACUUGUUCAUAAUAGCUGGUAAGUCGUGGAGCAAGGAUUUGAAAAGUGGCAGGGCUGCCUGAACUUAUCCCAACUACAUUAGCCCUACUCUCUGUCUUAAUUAAAUAUCUAUUAACUCACUCAUUAAAUAUAUAUUUACUGAAUGCCCUCUGUACUCAUCAAUGGAGAUACAGAAUUCCUAGACUCAAGGGGUGACGAAAGAGGAAGCACAACAGCAUUAGAAAAUGUCACUUCAGUGUAAUAAGAGCUAGAUUUAAACAAAAGAAGAAACAUUAAACUCAGAGACAAACUGUGGAAGGUAGGAGAAUGAAUUGGGAGCUGUGCAUAUCACAGAGAUUAAAAUCUGGAAAGGUUUUGUGGAGAAACCAUGUGUAAGGAUAAGUAGUUCACCUGUUGAAGAAUAUAAUGAAGGGUGUUGAAGGUCAGGGCACGGUGUGUAGCCAUUCAGGAGAGCUAAGUGUAAGCCCCUCUAGAGAAGGAAGAGGGGAAGCAGACUCAGUCUUUGAAAAUAAUAAGCCCCUCUAGAGAAGGAAGAGGGGAAGCAGAGGCUAUGCUGGAACACAGACUCAGUCUUUGAAAAUAAUGAGAAUUACAUCCUGAAGGGGAAGAGAAAUGAGUAUGGAAUUUAAGGCUACUGUUGAUUAGUUACAGAGUCAUGUCCAACUCUUUUGCAACCCCAUGAACUGUAGUCUGCCACUCUUCUCUGUCCAUGGAAUUUCCCAGGCAAGAAUACUGGAGUGGGUUACCAUUUCCUUCUCCAGAGGAUCUUCCAGUCCCAGGGACUAAACCUGUGUCUCAGGAAUUGGCAGGGAGAUUUUUUAACACUGAAUCACCAGGGAAGCCUUAUGUAAUUUGGGGUAGGAAAAUGAAUUUUUUAAAUCUGAAAAGGAUUACUGGCUGCUGCUGCUGCUGCUAAGUUGCUUCAGUCAUGUCCGACUCUGUGCAACCCCAUAGACAGCAGCCCACCAGGCUCCCCUGUCCCUGGGAUUCUCCAGGCAAGAACACUGGAGAGGGUUGCCAUUUCCUUCUUCAAUGCAUGAACGUGAAAAGUGAAAGUGAAGUUGCUCAGUCGUGUCCGACUCUUAGUGACCCUAGUAUGGAAAAUGAAGUGAAUCAAAGGGCAGUGGGAAUCUAAAGCAAGAGGACACUUAGAAACACAAGUCAGAAAUGAUAGAGGUAGUGAUGAGAACCAGGGCAAGACUUCUUAAAUGUGCUUUAAAAAGGGAGAUCUGCAAUGAAUGAAAAGGAACUCUCUAAGUAAGGCAUUGUAUAUUCUGUGCAGGAUAUAAUGUCCGAAAACAUUAGAAAAGGACAUAAUGAUAAAAAGUACUGGCUCUGAAAAAUGGCAUCACUUUAUAAAAAAAUCUGAAAUAUAUCAAUGAAUAUUUUAAUAUACAAAACAAAGACUACCAAAAAGAAUCAGGUAUGACAUCUAAUACUAGUAUACAAAAGAAGUAUGCAUUAAUGUUGUCAGUAUAUUUCAUAUUAAAUCCUUCUCCAGUGUUUUUCCUUUAAUAAAUCCUAUGGUCCUACAUAAUAUAUCUUUAUCAUAUGUCUUUUAUACUGGAGUAAAAUAAACUUUCUGUUUAUUCUCCAGACACUUGCAAGGUUUUAGAGCAGAUUCCCUGAAGCUACUGAACCUUGAAUUUAAUCUAUUCCCAUAUGGCUAAGAAACAUGAAGUCAAAAUAUUUUCUUAAGUGACAGGGUGUUUUGGGAAAGGAAUGCUCUUCUUCCCUUACAACUCAAUUUGAUGGGUAGCUUCCAUAUUAUAUUAAAAACUAACUAUUUUAUAAACAUAGUAUGUGUGGAUGCUAAGUCGCUUCAGUCAUGUCCAACUCAUUGCGACCCCAUGGACUGUAGCCCUCCAGGCUCCUCUGUACAUGGAAUUCUUCAGGCAAGAAUCCUGGAGUGGGUUGCAAUGCCCUCCUCCAGGGAAUCUCCCUGACCCAGGAAUCGAAGCCAUGCAUUUCUGGCAUUGCAGGUGGGUUCUUUACCGCUGAGCCAGCUGGGAAACCCCAAACAUAGUAUAUAAAUACUUAAAAACAUUUAAAAUUGGAGCCAAAUAGUUAUUUCCUCUAUUGAGUGUAUUUUUUGCUUUUAGAUUCUGUUUGUUAAGUACUAUACUUUUGAAUAUCUAUGAAGUCUGAAGGAUUAUUUUUGUAGUUGGCCUCCCACUUUGCAAUCAUAUUUAUUAAAAUUAUUCAGAACACUAUGUGCUUAAAUGCUUCAAUAUCUAACUGCUAGUGCUUUUAUUUUCCUGUUUUAAAAUAUUUUUUAUAUGUUGAGAAUGUGUUAAAUCUUUUUGAGCCAUUUUCAUAUCUGAGAGAAACUUACUACAAUUUCAAACAUAAAAAAUUCCAACUACAGAUGAAAAUUUUAUUUGACAUUUAAUUUUAGAACUGCAGUGUUUAUAUGAUUUCAUGUUCUGAAUCAUCAACUUCAGUUCCAGUUUGAUUUUUGUUCAAUUUUGAAUAAUUUUU
ensembl:lincRNA